UACGUAAGUAGCAAGCGUUGUCCGGAAUUACUGGGCGUAAAGGGCUCGUAGGUGGCCAACUAAGUCAGACGUGAAAUCCCUCGGCUUAACCGGGGAACUGCGUCUGAUACUGGAUGGCUUGAGUGUGGGAGAGGGAUGCGGAAUUCCAGGUGUAGCGGUGAAAUGCGUAGAUAUCUGGAGGAACACCGGUGGCGAAGGCGGCAUCCUGGACCACGACUGACGCUGAGUGAGCGAAAGCCAGGGGAGCAAACGGG
rnacentral:rRNA from 1 species